rnacentral:lncRNA from 1 species
UAAUUUUACUAUCAAACUCUCUGUUUAUUUGAUUUAAAUUAGUCAACAAUAAUUUGAUUUCAAAUUUUAAACUAAUUAUUUAUUUCAAUAAAUUUAUAAUUAUUAGAAUUGUUAAAAUAUAUUAAUUAAUCUGUAAAAAUAAACAACACAUUUAAAUUUUAAAAUCAAAGUGCAGUUAACUGAUUCAAAUCAAAUAAAUUAAAUAUUUUAAUAGGUCAGAUAAUCAAAUCAAAAUGGCCUAUAGUUUAAAUAAAUCUUAUAC